AGCCAUUUUCAUGCCCUAAAGCAGCCCCGAGGGCCUACGGAACCGGAGCUCCAGGUGGUGACCCGUGGGCCCCGACUGCUGGGGGCUGGGAGAGAAUACAGGGAAUGAAAAUGAAGCAUGUUGGCUGGAGGACCUGCCUGGGCUGCAGACCUUUCUGAGAGGCGAACUUGGGGACCAGGCAGCAGAACACAGAACCUGGAGAGUAGAACCCCGUGAUCCAGACCAGAGAAGCAGGAUCACGGAACUUAGAGGAGGAAGAUGGAGCAGCAGACCUAGACUUUGGGCCUUCUAGAACCUGGAACACUCAAGUCGGCCGGAAGCUGGAAGAUCCAGUCUGUGCCCCCGGUGGUCAGUGGGGGAAACUGAGGUCCGGCAGGAACGGGGAGGCCUUGAGCAUUGGUGAGCUGCAGUGGCACGCAGGUGGUCUCUGCUGAGCCAGGACCUCCCCACAGCUCGCUGCCGCCUGACCUCGGGCGAGUCCUGUCCCCUCUCCAAACCUCAGGUUCCCCCUCUGUGAAAUGGUCAUGUGACGGUGAGACAAGAUGGAGCAUCUCACCUGGUGCUCAGGCUCUCCCGGCAAGCUAGUGGCAUGGCUAAGGCCUGGACCCUGGCCACCUGACUCCUGAAUGACUCUGUCCCCUUGUGGUGAUGGUCUGGCCACUGCUGUUCCUUUCUCUUCUUUCUCACACUCAGUGGGACAUUUGGGCACUUGAGGCCCUUUUCUGGAAUGCUCUCGGGAUCUAGUAGAGGGAAAAGACUAAUCAGAGGAGCAAGAACAGACUGGCGGCUCCAUAUGAAGGAGCAGGGGCCCGGUGCCUACAGCCCUGCAUGGUGGCCUGUGCCAUUUGGUGAGGGCUUCUCGAGUGUCCCCCAGUGGAGACGGUCGGGUCCUGAGCCGAGGGCGCCGCGGCCCCUCGAAGGCAGGGGUGGGCAGAGGUGGAUUGGGAAGGGAAAAGAGAAAGGACUCAUUGUUCCAGCUCCACGGAGGCUUCCCAGGUGCACCUGCUCCAGGCCACCUAUCCUGAAGGAGGUGGACGACCUUGCUCGGGCUCCCAGAGAGCUGGAGCUGUAGGAUCUGGGCCAGGAGCAGCCCGGUCACUUCCCCAGAUCCCUGUGAGGCGGCGCUACCAGCCCCCGCUUUUCUGACUCCAAGAGAGCAGGAUUCCAGAGUUGGGGGCGGGGGGCGUUGGGGCCAGGGUUCCAGCCCAUCCUUUGAGCCAGCAGCAGCCAGGCAUGGUGCCAGGCACUGAGCACCCAGGGGGGAACCGAGAUCCCUUCCUGUUUCCCCUCCUUCCUUGCCGGGUCUCCUCGGGACCAUCAGCCAUCCUGCUCAGAGCGCUUGGAAGGCUGGAGUCCUUCCCCGUGGCUCUGCUCUCCACCACAUCCCUCCCAUUGUGGGGGACCCAUCGAGUUCCUGUACAUGAGCCACCUCAUCGGGGUGUGCCUUGCCCAGGCAGGACUAGACUUUUUCGAACCCCAGACCAGUUCUGAGAGCCCAGCAGCACUGACUGAAGGUGCAGGUGUGUGGAUUUGGGGGCGGUGGGGGGGGUGUCGUUUAUUCAUUCAACAGGCCAAGGUCAGCGCCUCCUUUGCAUCAGGCUCUGUGCUGGGGCCCUAGGAGAGUUGGGCAGCACUGCCCAGUGUGGGGUGAGGAGCCCUGGGGGGCAGGCCAGGGGUGAGGCAGCUCAGUCCUUCCUCAGCCUGGGGGAAGUGCAGUUCAGCUGAGCCUCCCUGGGCAGGGAGUGAAAGAUUCCACAGAAACUUGGAGCCUCCUAGAGGAUUUGGACUUUAUCCUGGGAGCAGGUGUUCCAAGCUGAGAGGGGCAGCAUCAGAUGUGGCUUUUGCUUGGCUCGUGGGGCUCAAGCCAGGAGCCCCUUCCCUGGCAAGGCUGCUGCUGUUGUCCAGGACUGACUCUUAAAUACAUAUAAAAUGAAGUAAGUGGGACUGUCAUACUGUCAUGUGGAAAAUUCUACUGG